rnacentral:rRNA from 1 species
GACGAACGCUGGCGGCGUGCUUAACACAUGCAAGUCGAACGGAAAGGCCCUGCUUUUGUGGGGUGCUCGAGUGGCGAACGGGUGAGUAACACGUGAGUAACCUGCCCUUGACUUUGGGAUAACUUCAGGAAACUGGGGCUAAUACCGGAUAGGAGCUCCUGCUGCAUGGUGGGGGGUGGAAAGUGUCGGCGGUGGGGGAUGGACUCGCGGCUUAUCAGCUUGUUGGUGGGGUAGUGGCUUACCAAGGCUUUGACGGGUAGCCGGCCUGAGAGGGUGACCGGCCACAUUGGGACUGAGAUACGGCCCAGACUCCUACGGGAGGCAGCAGUGGGGAAUAUUGCACAAUGGGCGGAAGCCUGAUGCAGCAACGCCGCGUGCGGGAUGACGGCCUUCGGGUUGUAAACCGCUUUCGCCUGUGACGAAGCGUGAGUGACGGUAAUGGGUAAAGAAGCACCGGCUAACUACGUG